UAGCCCAGAGACAAGGUCUUGGAGCUUGGGAGAAAAGAGGCAGCUGUGUCACUUUGCUGGGCAGAGGGGACUCAUGGCAGGCUGGCGUCUUCAGAGCUGUGAGCCGUCUCGGGGUGGGGCUUAGUGAUUGCAUAGUGGACAAACUGGAGAGUGAGCGGGGGCGGCAGUCCACAGGAGUCUCUGGUGAAGCUCCCUCCCGAAUCUUGGCGAGUCUGUCCAGCAUCGUGGGACCGUCCGGGGGUCUGGAGUGUCAUCAGCCCGUGACCUUCUCUAUGUGAUCAGACUCAUUAGGCCCCAGGAGGGGCUUCGGAAGGUCUGGUCACUCUCCUGAGGUUGUUGUCUAGUGACCCCCGUUGCAGGGGAAUGACUCAGAAUCCAAACACGAUUGUCAGUUCCAGUUGCCAGAGUGAGGUAAACAAACAGGAAAACCAGCAACUCCAGCUCUAGCUCUAAUUGUAACAGUGGGCCUGGGGCUGGGGACAGUGUCCUGUCAGUCAGAUUUACUGACCGUUCUAGAAGCAAACAGCAAGUGUGAGGCCAGGAAUUGGACAGCCUCAGCGCGGCCAGUUCCUGUUCCUCCUCGUGCCUUCCCUCCCUCCUUCCUUCUUCCUUCUCUUCGCGGCGCUCUCUGCUCUGGGGCUUCUGCUUGGUCCUUUUCAGGGGUUUCUACUUGAAAUGCAAUUUCCAAUCAAGAUGGCAGAAUAUUAGGACCACCAGCUUGCCUCUUAUCACGACUAAACAAAACCACAACUGACUGCUAAACAACCAUCAAGAGAAAGAAAAAAGAACUGGAACCUAGCAAUAAAGAUCUUCUUCAACUAGAAACAUAAAGAAGGAACCACAGCAGGAUGGUAGGAGGGGCGUGCUUGAGUCCCAGGGUGGGUGACUCACAAGCUGAAGAAUAAGUAAGUCACAGAGGUGCUCCCACAGGAGUGAGUUCUGAGCCCCACACCAGUCUCCCCAGCCCGGGGUUCUGGCAUUGGGAGGAAGAGGAGACCCCAGGACAGCUGGUUUUGAAGGCCGGCAGGACUUAACUCCAGGAGCCCCACGGGAGUGGGGAAACAGCAACUUCAUUCUCUUGGGAAGUGUGCACAGAACCCUGAGUGUGCGACGCCCAAGGGCAGAGGCAGCGAUUUCAUGGGAACCUGGGACAGGCCCACCUGCUGGUUUUGGAAGAUCCUCUGGGGACGGAGGGGAUGGCUGCGCUCACUCAGGGGACAUAGAGGCUGGUGGUGGACAUUCCAGGAGGGUUCAUCUACAUAAGCUUUCCUGGACUGGAGGCUGACAUCUUGAUUGGAUCAUUACCACCAAGACCGAGCCCCACCCAACAGUCUGUGGGCUUAAGGGCUGGGAAGCCUCAGGCCAAACAACAUAGUGGGUGGGAACACAGCCCCACCCGUCAGCAGACUUCCUGAGCCACAAAGGCCUCUAGACACGGCCCUACCCACCAGAGGUCCUGGACCAAGCUCCACCUGGCCGUGGGCAGGCACCAGCCCCUCUUGCCAGGAAACCUGCACAAGCCUCUAGUCCAGCCCCAUCCACCAGGGGGCAGAUACCAGGAAUAAGAAAACAACAAUCCCAAAGCCCGUGGAAGGAACCCACGAACACAGCCAGACCGAAGAUGCACACAGAAGGACUGACUAUCCAGAGCUCUGGUUUUAGACGACCAGAGAGAGCAGCCAAGAUACAUAAAUGGAGCUAAAGGACCCUGGAGUGACACCUACAGGAAUCAAGCUCACAGACAGCACACCAGCCCUCCACAAGCUUUCUUUUUAACUGAAACACUGCCCUUUUAUUUCAGACUUCCAAAUAGGGGCUCCAGGACCAACGGUCACCAGCUGCCCAAAUACCAAAGACUUUUGCUUCGGAAAUCUCUUGAUGUGAACAAAAAGUACUGCAAACCACAUCAGUAAACAAGGAAUGCUGAAGCCAUCAUGUCAUCAGUGGCUGCCCCACCCCCCAGUGAAGACCAGCCUGCAGCCUGGCCUCUGCAGCCGCUCACAGUGGUGCACUCAGAGGAGACUCAGAAUAAGCAAGGACAGGACACUGGCCCUAGGCAGCCAGGUGCUUGUCGAAGGAAUGAAUUCAGUGAGCCCAAAUACUUGCUUCUUCCCAUACGGAGAAAACCACUAAAUUCUUUAACUUGAGAUGUCUGGUCUUCAGUUAACAAGUAGUCUUUUAAUGAUCUGACUGCCUGGUCCUUGUUGUAAAGCUCCUCCCCUGCCUCUUUGGAGCCGUCCCUCGGAGCCAUCUGAGCGGCUGUCACCCUGGGCUGAGUCUUCAGAAUUGUCCACCGGAUAAAGCAUAACUCUCA